rnacentral:rRNA from 1 species
UCGAGAAUCUUCCGCAAUGGGCGAAAGCCUGACGGAGCGACACCGCGUGCAGGACGAAGGCCCUCGGGUUGUAAACUGCUGUCACGCUCUAGGAACCCCAUGUCGUGAAUAGCGGCAUGGCUGACCAAGGCGAAAGGAAGUGGCGGCUAACUCUGUGCCAGCAGCCGCGGUAAGACAGAGGCCACGAACGUUAGUCGGAAUCACUGGGCUUAAAGGGUGCGUAGGUGGGUCCGCAAGCGUCCUGUGAAAUACCUCAGCUCAACUGAGGAACAGCAGGGCGAACUGCGGGUCUUGAGGCAGGUAGGGGCUGGAAGAACGGUCGGUGGAGCGGUGAAAUGCGUAGAGAUCGACCGGAAUGCCGAUGGGGAAGCCGUCCAGCUGGGCCUGUCCUGACACUGAGGCACGAAAGCGUGGGGAGCAAACAGGAUUAGAUACCCAGGUAGUCCCUGAGCGGGCUGGCAAGGCGCAU